rnacentral:rRNA from 1 species
CCCGGGAACUACGAGCCAAGCUUAAAACCCAAAGGACUUGACGGUACCCCAUAUCCCCCUAGAGGAGCCUGUCCUAUAAUCGAUAACCCCCGUUUAACCUCACCAUUUCUAGCAACUCAGCCUGUAUACCUCCGUCGUCAGCUUACCACGUGAGCGCUAGUGAGCUCAAUGUUUUUUCAACUAAACGUCAGGUCAAGGUGCAACACAUGAAGUGGGAAGAGAUGGGCUACACUUUCUAAAAUAGAUCACACGGAAGACUAACUAUGAAAUCUAGUCAGAAGG